GACAUAUGGGGCGAGCGUUACUCGGAAUUACUAGGCGUAAAGCGCGUGUAGGCGGGCGCACAAGUCUGCCGUGAAAUCUCCCGGCUCAACUGGGAGGGGUCGGUGGAAACUGUGUGUCUCGAGUGAGGUAGGGGGUACCGGAAUUCCUGGUGUAGCGGUGAAAUGCGUAGAUAUCAGGAGGAACACCGGUGGCGAAAGCGGGUACCUGGGCCUUUACUGACGCUGAGACGCGAAAGCUAGGGGAGCAAACAGG
rnacentral:misc_RNA from 1 species